rnacentral:lncRNA from 14 species
GCCCCGCCCCGCGCCGCGCACGCGCCGCUGCCCGCGCAGGCCCGGCCGGAGCCGCGGCCCGGCCUGACCCGGGAGGUGCCCAGGAUGUGCCCCGGGAUGUGCUCGGGAUGUGCCCCGGAUGUGCUCGGGAUGUGCCCCGGGAUGUGCUCGGGAUGUACCCUGGGAUGUGCCCGGGAUGUGCUCGGGAGGUGCCCUGGGAUGUGCUCGGGAUGUACCCUGGGAUGUGCUCGGGAUGUGCUCCGGAGGUGCCCGGGAUGUGCUCGGGAGGUGCCCGGGAUGUGCUCGGGAUGUACCCCGGGACUGCGCCGCUCGCCAGGCCCGUCAAAGCGUCCGGGAGCGGCCGUGCCCAGGGAAUGCACUUCCCAAGGCGCGGAGAGGGAGCGAGCGGACGGGCAGGGCACGGAGCUGAUAACGCCAGCCUUGGGAGCGAAUAAAUGGCAGCGAUUGUGCUCGGGCACGUGAAAUGCAUAUUCAUUUCCAUAACGCCCGUUCCGCUGUGGUAACAGGCAGAACAAGGGCCCCUGACCUAUUUUAAAUAUUUCUGAGGUAAAGUGGAAACAUCGGCGGGUUUUAAGGCACACACACCUUACAGUCCUUCUGCACGUAGUGUGUGUCCCGACAUUUGGUGUUUUAUCUUCCGAGGAGCCAAAGCAGAGAGGCCGCUGUGCCCCGGCAGCGCUGGCACAACUCAGCGUGCAGGCGGGGGAUUAACCCGGGCACUGUCCCGCUCAGAUUUUAGGGAAGAGAGGGGAAAGGAACACGAGGUGUUUGUGUUUUCCCAGCCCUGUCAAACCGCUGCAGAAGGGAGGCGAUUCCUUUUGCCAUCUGCUGGGGCUGUGCUGUAAGCACAGCGGCGAUUUGCACGGAGCUGUUUGUCACCGCUCCCGGCUUGUCAGCAUUUAUGGAAGCGUGUGGCUAAAAGAGGAAUAGAACAUGUCACCGCUCUGCAUUCAGGUUUAUAAUUAGGACAAAACUGAGACCAAGCAAGUGUGGUCCGUUUCGCAGAACAAGUUUUUGAGAGCCUUUAGCGAGAUGGAAGCAAUUUCAGCAGGG